AGCUCCUCGCUAUGCGCCGCCCUGGAGGGCUCGCGCUCGCCAGCCGGUCGUCUUUGCACUCGUAGGCGACCUCGUCGUCCCCUCUGCACUGCCCUCCACCUCAACUAAUGAUUUAGCUGGUUAUAUCUUGUGGAUGUUCUCUAUUGUUUUUUGCACACAAGGUGUUUGUGUGUUUGUCAGAGCCAAUGUUCAUGAGCUUUAUCUUUGCUGUGAGUACUGCAUCUUUCUGUCCAUCUGAUUGUUCCAUGUUAUACUAUCUUUUGAAGAAAAUAGAUCUGUAUUGUUUACCUUGAUUUUUCUGAUUGUAGAUAAAUGGCAUGGCUGAGAAAGUCCCUUCAAUGAAAGGAGGAGUAUAGUCUUGGCCAUGGCUGGGAAGGAAGGAGAACAUGUAAAUUGAGGAUUUUUCAGAGAGAUCGGGACUGCUUGAUUUAUCAGUGGACUAGUGUGCUGGUUGAUUAGGAUCUUUCAGAGAGAUCAGGGUUGCUUGAUUAAUCAGAGAGAAACUGGAACAGUACUUGGGAGUUGGGACUGGUGUGCUACGGUUGCUUGAUUAAUAAGAGAGAAACUUAUCAUAAUUUAUGAUUUCCUUUUCUUGAUUUGGAGCAAGUGUCUUUGCUGGAGUCAGCGUCCUUGUGGUUGAUCUCAUAUACAUGAGGUAUGGUAUUUCUAUCCUUAAAAGUAUGUAACAAAUCCGCAAUUCAUUUUGAGUUAUUCGUGUGUUUUUUUGGGAUCAGGAUUAUCUGAGUCAGCUGCUUGUGGUUGACCUCAUAUACAUGAGGUAUGGUAUUUCUAUCUUUAAAAGUAUGUAGUAAAUCCAUAAUUCAUUUUGAGUUAUUAAUGUGUUUUUUCGGAUCAGGAUUAUCCGAUCAUUAAAGCACAUACAUUGGAGUUGAAAUAUAGGCGGGUCGUGUACACGGGGUACAUGUACGUGAUGUAAACAAAACCUAUAUAACUCAGGUAUGUCAUACAUCUAGCUUAAUUUUUGCAUGGGCGACAAUUUGAAAAGCUUACUGCAGAUCUACCAAAGAUAGAUAAUACACAAUAUUAAAAAUCAUCUUGAGAAAUCUGGAAAGUUUGUAAAACUUAAAAUACACAUCUCUCUUUACAGGUUGGCAAUUUUGAAUUCUAUUUGUCAUAUUGUUUUUCCUAAUACAGCGGCAUCUCUACUACCCUCCUGUAAAGCGAUUGGCCAUUGUUAGGAUAAAAAUAGCAACUACACACAUAUUUAAUCAAUCUUUUGGCCUAUAUCGUUAAGUACUAUUAUUGCCAAUUUGAUGAGGAAAAGGCAAAACAUGUAAAGCUUUAUAAGUUUUAUAUCCUACCCUAAGCCCAAAUCUUUAUGUUGUUCUUUAUGCAAGACUCCAUAACACUCCGGCCUUGAUCACAAAUGAGUCGCUGGCUACCAUAGCACUAUCAGUUCCCUGUGGUGAUCGUCGUUUAUAUUGGUUUGUGGCGCAGGGAAUCGGUACUACAAGAGAGCUUCAAGCUGACGGCCAAUAGGAAUGGAAGACAUGACUUGAUGGAGAAAUCAGGUGCAUAUGAACAACAUAUUGUCUUCCAAUUUUUUUCAUCAUUCAGUAGGACAAUUUCCUAAUUCUGUAUGAAAAGGUUAUUAGUAUGGAUAUAUAUAUUUAUCGAAUUUAAUUAGCAUAUAUUAGGUUCUUUGUUCGCCCCACCUUUUGCUCAUGACUACAUAAUUAUUCGGACUUGUAUUCUAGAUAGAUGCUUUUCUAUGAACCUCAUAAAAAAUGUAAUAUGCCUUAGAUCCUAAUUGACUAUUUAUACAUCGGAUAAUUUCAGCUUGCUGUGUCCCAAGAUACCUAUUUUUUUUAUACCAAAAACAGGUGAAGUCCUAACAAUCUAUACUCCAGCAUUGUAUCUGCAAAUGUAGAUUGCUUCUGUAGGAUUCGAACAGAUGGUAGUUUGCAGACUGAUGAGUUGGUUCCAGUAACAUCACAUGUCAAGGAUACCUCUCUCCACUUACCAAUCAAUUUUUUUAUGAUGAUGUUCAGAGAAGUGUGUUUAAUUUCUGUCGCAGUGGGAUGUUGUGAUUAGUUCAGUUUUGCUUGAUCUAUUUCGAGUUAAUUCCUUUUUGUGAUGUGGUGUUAGGGAACAUACAUUCUGCUCUCUUGUUCUUCGGCUUGGGGUGUCGGCAGCUACCUAUUACUACUAGGGAGUCUUAUUUUGGACGGAAAGAAAAUACAAUAUUGGUUUUUAUCCAUUUGUAUGCCUGCGUUAGCCUUAUGAAGCACAAAGGAUGUCCCAGUGAUCAAUCACGGAUGAUACUUGGUGUAUUCUUACUAGGCNNN
rnacentral:lncRNA from 1 species